rnacentral:rRNA from 1 species
AACGAACGCUGGCGGCAUGCCUAACACAUGCAAGUCGAACGAUACCUUCGGGUCUAGUGGCGCACGGGUGCGUAACGCGUGGGAACCUGCCCUUAGGUUCGGAAUAACUCCCCGAAAGGGGUGCUAAUACCGGAUAAUGUCUUCGGACCAAAGAUUUAUCGCCGUUGGAUGGGCCCGCGUUGGAUUAGCUAGUUGGUAGGGUAAAAGCCUACCAAGGCGACGAUCCAUAGCUGGUCUGAGAGGAUGAUCAGCCACACUGGGACUGAGACACGGCCCAGACUCCUACGGGAGGCAGCAGUGGGGAAUAUUGGACAAUGGGCGAAAGCCUGAUCCAGCAAUGCCGCGUGAGUGAUGAAGGCCUUAGGGUUGUAAAGCUCUUUUACCCGGGAUGAUAAUGACAGUACCGGGAGAAUAAGCUCCGGCUAACUCCGUG